CAAACCUCAAGCCUAGCUUGGUAUUGGGCCUUCGUCCCCAGGGACGUGCCCGAAAUUCAGUGGCGGUGCCACCGAGCCUCAAGCGUAGCAGAAUUUCCUCGCUUUGGAGAACUCGGUCUUGGUUGCCAGCCUCACCAUUUAAUUUCUAGAAGA
rnacentral:misc_RNA from 1 species